rnacentral:rRNA from 1 species
CGAACCCGGAAGCUAAGACUCUCAGCGCCGAUGGUACUGCAAGGGGGACCUUGUGGGAGAGUAGGACACCGCCGGAC